rnacentral:rRNA from 1 species
UACGGAGGGGGUUAGCGUUGUUCGGAAUGACUGGGCGUAAAGCGCACGUAGGCGGAUUUGUAAGUCAGGGGUGAAAUCCCGGGGCUCAACCUCGGAACUGCCUUUGAUACUGCAAAUCUCGAGUCCGGAAGAGGUGAGUGGAAUUCCUAGUGUAGAGGUGAAAUUCGUAGAUAUUAGGAAGAACACCAGUGGCGAAGGCGGGCUCACUGGUC